rnacentral:rRNA from 1 species
AUGUUGUUACAUGACAGAAUCAACACCAGGAAUCUUUUAAGAAGGAAAAACUUUGAAUUGGAAGUCUACAAUUGUGCAGUGAGAAAUUGUCAACAGAAAGAAACUCUGCAUCAUCUCUUUUGGGGAUGCCCUUUUGCUGUCAGAUGUUGGGACUUCAUCUGCCCUUCAAGAACACCUAACUUGUCAGUCCUGGAAGCUUACCAAGAUCUCAAGGACAAACUCAAUUACCCGUUCUUUAUGGAGAUUAUAAUAUUGGGUUCAUGGGCAAUCUGGAUUUCAAGAAACAACAAGAUUUUUGAAAAUAAAACCCCCUCAUUUGAUGGCUGGAAACACAUAUUCUUUCAGGAGUUAAAGCUACUCAAAUACAGCAUUAAAAAGAAAUAUGAAGCUCAAUUCUCUGCUUGGCUGGAUGCUUGGUUGUAA